AUGAGGCCUGAGGAGCCGGGCAUGCCAGCUCCCCAAGAGACGGGCAUGUUCCAAGCUUCCCUGCCCAUCGUCCUGCAAGCCCAGCAAAUGGAGGCUCGCUCUCAGACGCCAGAGAGCCCGAGCGGCAAAGCCGCCAUGCCAGUCCUCGCACACUUGCAGAGAUCAGAAGACGAGGCUCAGCCCUGGGCAACAGACCCUGGGGAAAAGCAACAGGUAACUCUAACCCCAGGGGAAUCCCCCAUAGAAAAGGAUCCCCUCCCAGAUACCCCAAAGGAGGUUGCAUCCCAGUUACCCGAAGCCUUAACAAUGGAGUCCGAAGAAGACCCGGGCCUUCUGAAGGAGCUGAAGUUGACCGAAACUCUCCAGGAGAAGGAGAAGGAGAUAAUGGAGCAGGGUGAGACCCCAGCGGCUGUUGUCUUGCAGAAGGAGGGCGAACCCCAGAACAAGGGGACCCCAGAAGCAGUGGCAACCCAGGCGCUGCACAGCCUAGAGGAAGAGGCAUCUGCUGCUGCUGCAGCGCUAGUACAGGCCUCUCCGUCUCCCCCACAGUUGAUCGAAGCACAACAGUCGCAACAGGAUCCCCAGGGGGAUGAAUUGCCUCUGCCGCUCCUGACCAAGGAAGCCCCUGCGGGACUCACUGCCGUGGAAGACGAAGCUCCUCCUCAGCUCUCUCAGCCAUCUCCCCCUGCCCAGGAAGCACCGGCUGCAGCCAGCCUCGGAACCUUGCCAUCUCCGUUGGUGCUCCCACCACAUCAGCCCUUACGACCCGGCAGCUCCCGUUCCUCCUCCUCCUCGUCCUCCAGUUCCUCUCGUUCCCGCUCCCGGGGCAGCUCGCCACUACGUUCCCGGGCUAGGAGGACCCGCUCCGCUUCCUCCGAAUCACCUGCUCGGAAACGGCCAGCUUUGGAAUUACGAUCCUGCUCCAACUCAGAGCGGCAUAGCAGUUCGGGCUCCCAGUCCCGUUCCAGCAGCAGAGGCAGCAGCAGCAGCAAGGUGAGUGGGUUCGGGAGUGGUGUCUUUACAAACCAAGUCGGGAAAUUUAACAGGUUGCCCUCGACUUAUAUUAGUGACUGUUCAGAGUUAACAGCCCUGAAAAAAAGUGACUUAUGA
rnacentral:lncRNA from 1 species